UAAUUGAAGAGUUUGAUCAUGGCUCAGAUUGAACGCUGGCGGCAGGCCUAACACAUGCAAGUCGGGCGGCAGCGGGGGAAAGCGUGCUU
rnacentral:rRNA from 1 species